UGUCGGACGGGUGAGUAACGCGUGAGAAUCUACCUUUAGGACGGGGACAACAAUUGGAAACGAUUGCUAAUACCCGAUAUGCCCUUCGGGGUGAAAUGUUUUAUCGCCUAAAGAUGAGCUCGCGUCCGAUUAGCUAGUAGGUAGUGUAAUGGACUACCUAGGCGAUGAUCGGUAGCUGGUUUGAGAGGACAAUCAGCCACACUGGGACUGAGACACGGCCCAGACUCCUACGGGAGGCAGCAGUGGGGAAUUUUCCGCAAUGGGCGCAAGCCUGACGGAGCAAUACCGCGUGGGGGAGGAAGGUCUGUGGAUUGUAAACCCCUUUUCUCAGGGAAGAAGCUCUGACGGUACCUGAGGAAUAAGCAUCGGCUAACUCCGUGCCAGCAGCCGCGGUAAUACGGAGGAUGCAAGCGUUAUCCGGAAUUAUUGGGCGUAAAGCGUCCGCAGGCGGCUAGAUAAGUCUGCUUUCAAAGAGUGGGGCUCAACCCCAUAGGGGGAGUGGAAACUGUUUAGCUAGAGUAUGGUAGGGGCAGAGGGAAUUCCCAGUGUAGCGGUGAAAUGCGUAGAUAUUGGGAAGAACACCAGUGGCGAAGGCGCUCUGCUGGACCGAGACUGACGCUGAG
rnacentral:rRNA from 1 species